UGUUCUCGUUGUCCUUCUUGAGCUUGGUCCUGAUGACUUUGAAACUACUAGUGUCCGUGAGAGAAGUGGAGCAGAAGGGUGUUUUUAACUCGCUUCAACAUGUUGAAUCGGUCACUCUAGUUUCUUUGAGGAAAGGAGGCGUGGAAAAAAUCGUGAACGAGCACUUUCAGGUUUAAUUAUCUGGCUUGACCAAGUUGGCCAUACGGUGGGUGUUUGGGCGGCGUUUAUGACGAUGCUAAUGCUCAUGGGCAAGUUAGAUCCUCGGAUAUAAGUGUCUAACACUCAAGUGAGGACUUUAUGGUUGUUGGUCUUUUUCAAAAUUUGUUUAUCACAAACGAUCAAGUUCGCCCGUAAAACCCGGCUAAUCCAUUGUAAUACACCCGGGGCUUUGACGGCAACUCUGCUCACUAUUCUCUCAAGAUCAUCAUUGAUCCUUUCAAAUCUGUCUGAAACCUUGUCCUAUUCAUGUCCUGAGCAUAUCAUAAAGCCUGUCCAAUCAGGUCAGCCGUUCACGAAUUACGCCAAAAAACUUGAUGUGGGACACGAAUGUACAUUUAAACACAAGGUCUGUUGAGCUCGAGAGAGUGAGAUGAGAUCGGUCUUCGUACAAAAUAUGUCCACUUGCAAAUAUUCAAGGGUGGCACUAUCAGAUUGAGACGAAUCUGAUGAUCAGAAGCCAGAGAGAGGCGAAGAAUCCAAGUGUGAGAGGUGUGAGGAGGAGGAGGAGCACGAGGAGGAGAUCUGCUAGGUCUACAAUAUCGAACCAAGCUCACCCAGCUCAUCCGUCCCGUCCUAACCAUGAGAGCAAAAGCAGGAUGUCGGGUGAAGUGAUGAUUCAUGAGAGUGACUGGUUGCUAACCCGAUACUUUUCAGGUGUGCGUGAUGGUGUGUCUGUGAGUGGUUGUUUUAAUUGGGUGUCUUCUUUGUUCCACAUCAGAUUGAAUUGUGUGGUGCAAAUCACGAGAAACAAGAAGCGUCAAAUCCGAGCUCUGUCGAAGAUCAUUGUUUGUUGCCGUCAUAAAAAGUGCUCUUGAGAUGCACUUCAUCGUCUUCUUACCUGUGCAAACUGCCCCUAAUCCGCCUCCUUAACCAACUUAAUCCUACCUUUGAUUUAGAUCAUGGCCACUAAUCCCAUCGGAAAACAUCAGUGGCCUCGCCAUAAACCCGGUUUUACUCCUAUCACCAACUGGACAUCUCGUCCAACCAAGCGAAUAAAUGGCAAUGUGACGUUUGAAAGCCAUCCAUUUUGAGCCAAUGUGUUUCUUUUUUCUAUUCCUGCCAAUGGAAUUUAUGACGUAUCGAUUUCCAGUCUCUCAAUUACCACGACGGGUGUUUCUUUUCUUGAUCCAAAUUGGACCCUGCCCUCCCGACGAUCAUAAAUAUCAUAAAUACACGCAAUUCCAAGGAAAACGAUUCGAUUCCCAGAUGAAGGAUUGACGGAACCAAAUUCGCAGCCACAUCCACUUCAAUUUGCCUAAUUGAAAUUGGAUCCAAAAAAACACCGGAGGGAGAGCAGAAGACGCGUUGGAUUUCCACAGGAAAUGGCCAUCCAAAUUUAGCUCUGCGUGGAAUUGGAAUUGUUGUGGGGCCAAUUAAAAUGAUUGGCCUAAAUUCCACCCACGAUCAUUUUGAGGUCCGAUCCACUCAAACCCUGACGAAUUUGUGGCGAAAAUCCUUGAUUUGCUGUCCCACCCGAUCCUCCAACAGGACCAAAUUCAGUUAUUUCUCGAUCCAAGCGAUCCGGAUAACAGCUGAGCUGAUACGUACGUAUUUUCAAUCAAGACGAAAACACUUCAAUCAUCCGAGGGAUCCGAGACAUGUUGGUGUCCUCUUGAGACAGCAAUUGCAAUGGUUCUCUUCUUGCCUUUCAAUGAAAGUUGAUUGACGCGGCGGACAGGGAUUUUAAUUUCUUCACCACAAGAAGAGAGUCCGAUAGAUCCGGAGGGGACCAAGACGACCACGACAAAGGCAUCGAGGGAUUAAGGGGAAUGGGAGAGAGAGAGAGACAGAGAGAGAGAGAGAGAGAGAGCGAAUGAUGCAGGGUGGUCGGAAACCAAUUACUCUCGAGAAAAAUAAAAGUUAAUUUUCUUUGACAA